rfam:Geobacter sp. FRC-32, complete genome.
GGAGAGAUGUCCGAGCGGUUGAAGGAGCACGCCUGGAAAGCGUGUGUACGUUAAUAGCGUACCGAGGGUUCGAAUCCCUCUCUCUCCG